AUGGUUGUCAGUAUGAGAUAUCCAGUUGGAAAAGAACGCAAUAGGCAUCGGAAGUGAUAUAAGGAUGCACAGUGUUUUUAUUUUGGGGGUCAAUACCACCAUAGAGUGCCUUUCAUCUUCACAAUACUCAAAACAUUUGGUUUUAAUUUCCCAUUCACUUUAUGUCAUGUCAGAAACAGUAUAAACAUAUUAGCUGAGCUCCCACACAUUUUUUUUUUGUUGAUAAUUAUGGAUCAUUAUUCGAAGCAUAAACCAGAAGAUAUGUCCACCCUUUCAUGGACAUAUAUAUUAAUGUUAAAUAUGUUCUGAUUCCAAAAUUAAGAUACAAAUUAUAUAUUCUGAAAUGUAUGAUAUCCCUUUCCUAAAUAUGGUUAUUUGUUUGCUUUCAAAUUUUAAUUUCAAAAUUUUUAUGUAAACCAUGCGUUUUUAAAGAAACUCAUACAAUUCACACAUAUUUUUUUCUAAGGAAAUUUAAUGAGCAAUACAUGGGGCAAAGCAAAAUAACACGCACUCUCUUACACAAAAAUAAAAAUCUAGAAAAUAUAACUAAAGUAAUGUUUUUGUUAUGAAUAUAAAAGCUUUGCCUGAAAUAACAUACCAUUUGAUAGACAUUUUUAUGCUAAGUUACCAUGGCAAAUGAGUUACUUAUGUACAGGACACCAAAAGGCACCCUACGGUAAUAUUGACCCUUUUAUUUAUUUUGCAGUACUACCAUUAAAUUAAUGCAAUACAACCCACUCAUGAAUGAUGAUAAAGUAGAUAAAAGUGUAUUGUGUUAUGUGGAUGGGACACUUUUUAUAGUAUUUAUAAUCUUUAAUGUAAUGUUUGUUUAGAAUUUUCUAAAUUUUGUUAAAUGAAAGUCCGCAAUAAUAUCAAAGCUUUUAUGUAAUAUAAUCCCAUUUUCAGGGUAAUGGUGAUAUUGUAGCUGUAAACAUGAUGUCCCUUUGAAAAAUAAAUAAAUAAAUAAAUAAAAGAAGUCAUAAGAUGCCCAUCUGUCAAAAA